CUCAUAGCGUAUAUUAAGUUGUUGCAGUUAAAACGCUCGUAGUCGGAUUUCGGGGCGGGCUGCUCGGUCUGCCGAUGGGUAUGCACUGGGUGGCGCGUCCUUCCUUCCGGAGACCGCGCCUUCUCUUAACUGAGCGGGCGCGGGAGACGGAACGUUUACUUUGAAAAAAUCAGAGUGUUUCAAGCAGGCAUCUUCGCUCUUGCAUGGAUUAGCAUGGGAUAAUGAAAUAGGACUUUGGUGCUAUUUUGUUGGUUUCGAACACCGAAGUAAUGAUUAACAGGGACAGUCAGGGGCACUCGUAUUCCGUCGAGAGAGGUGAAAUUCUCAGACCAACGGAAGACGAACCACUGCGAAAGCAUUUGCCAGGGAUGUUUUCACUGAUCAAGAACGAAAGUUAGGGGAUCGAAGACGAUCAGAUACCGUCGUAGUCUUAACCAUAAACCAUGCCGACUAGGGAUUCGAGGGUGUUCCAUCUGUGACCCCUUGAGCACCUUUCGGGAAACUAAAGUCUUUGGGUUCCGGGGGGAGUAUGGUCGCAAGGCUGAAACUUAAAGGAAUUGACGGAAGGGCACCACCAGGAGUGGAGCCUGCGGCUUAAUUUGACUCAACACGGGGAAACUUACCAGGUCCAGACAUUGUGAGGAUUGACAGAUUGAGAGCUCUUUCUUGAUUCAAUGGGUGGUGGUGCAUGGC
rnacentral:rRNA from 1 species